ACACAUGACGCGGCCCCAGUUCUCGCUCCAAUUGGGUCUCCGAUUUCUGGAGAAGCCAAUCACCGUCACCGCGGUUCCUGGUGACAAGGAACCGCAGUAUUCGGGUCAUGGCACCCGGGACCCUCCUCUUGCUGCUCUCGGGGGCCCUGGCCCUGACCCAGACCCGGGCUGGCUCCCACUCCCUGAGGUAUUUCGACACCGCCGUGUCCCGGCCCGGCCGCGGGGAGCCCCGCUUCAUCUCCGUCGGCUACGUGGACGACACGCAGUUCGUGCGGUUCGACAGCGACGCCGCGAAUCCGAGGAUGGAGCCGCGGGCGCGGUGGAUGGAGCGGGAGGGGCCGGAGUAUUGGGACGAGCAGACACGGCUCGCCAAGGACAACGCACAGAUUUCCCGAGAGAGCCUGCGGACCGCGCUCGGCUACUACAACCAGAGCGACAACGGGUCUCACACCAUCCAGUGGAUGUAUGGCUGUGAAGUGGGGCCCGACGGGCGCCUCCUCCGCGGGUACAAUCAGCACGCGUAUAAUGGCGCCGACUACAUCGCCCUGAACGAGGACCUGCGCACGUGGACGGCGGCGGACACGGCUGCUCAGAUCACCCAGCGCAAGUGGGAGGAGGACCGUGUGACCGAGAAUGUGAAGGCCUACGUGGAGGGCAGGUGUGUGGAGUCCCUCCGUAGGUACCUGGAAAACGGGAAGGAGAUGCUGCAGCGCGCAGAUGUCCCAAGGACACAGGUGACUCACCACCCCGUCUCUGAACAUGAGGUCACGCUGAGGUGCUGGGCCCUGGGCUUCUACCCGGCGGAGAUCACCCUGACCUGGCAGAGGGAUGGGGAGGACCAGACCCAGGACAUGGAGCUUGUGGAGACCAGGCCUGCGGGGGACGGGACCUUCCAGAAAUGGGUGGCUGUGGUGGUGCCCUCUGGAGAGGAGCAGAGAUAUACGUGUCAUGUGCAGCACGAGGGGCUGCCCAAGCCUCUCACCCUGAGAUGGAAGUCCCGUUCUCAGUCCACUGUCCUCAUCAUGGGGAUCAUUGCUGCCCUGGUUCUCCUUGUGGUCAUUGCAGCUGUGGUGGUUGGAGCUGUGAUCUGGAGGAAGAAGAGCUCAGGUAUAGGGGUUGGGCCUGAGUUUUCUUGUCCCACUGCAGAGUUUCAAGUCCCAGGUAGGAGUCUGCCUGCCUUCUGCCUCUACUGUGAAGCACCAUCCGCACACCUGUGCAUACCCAGCCUAGGGACCUGUGUGCUAACACUUACUCACAUGAGGACAGAUUUUUCACCUUGAUGAUUCUGGUGAUGGGGACCUGAUUCCCAUAGUUGCAGGUCUGAGGUGGAAAAGGAGGGAACUAUGCUCAGGCUGCAAGCAGCGACAGUUCCCUGGGCUCUGAUGUGUCUUUUAUGGCUUCUAAAGCUGGUGUCUGAAUGUGUCUGCAUUCCUGUCUGCAUAAUAUGAGGACGUGGGGAGACUAGCCCCACCCCACCUACGAGGACCCCCUCCCCACACUGAACUAUGUCCCUUGCCUGAUCCAUGUUCCUGUUCCAGUAGAGGCAGGGCUGGGAAAUCUCCAUCCCUGUUGUAACUUCCUGUUGCUGUGAUCGGCAAUGUCUCACUUCCCUGUUGGAAAUGAGAAUCUGGCUAUUUUUUCAAAAUCUUGCCAUAAAGUGUGGUUGAUGGGUUAAUUAAAGGAGAGAAAAAUUCUGAAAAUUUAAGAGGCAAUAAAUGAAGACUUGAUAACCUUCCAGAAUCCUGUGUUUGCUGUGUUGAGUCUGUCGCAGGCAGGACAGGAGAAGGCCAUGGAGUAGCUGAGCAUGGAUGGGGCCUGUGCCCAGCUGGUGCUCAGUACUUCAUGGGCUUUGACAUGGUUACUUCUUGGCUGGGUCCUCUUCACUGCUCUGUUGUCCUUGUCCCACCAGGACCUGUGAUCACAGUGACUCAGACAUCACCUGGGACACUGGACAGAGAGGACUUUGUACAGCUAUUCAGCCUGGGCUCAGGCCUGGACUGGCCCUUAGCCAUCAUCAUUGUGUGGUUAUUUUUGUGUCUUGGUUGUUGUAGAGGAUUAUGCCUGUUCUUGAUCUUGUGCACGAGUUCUUGUUCUUGGUCCCAUCCUCCUCUGGGUAUCCCCAUCUCUGAUAGCACUGGGAGUCGUUUUCCUGUCACUAUCCCCACAAGGCCCAGGGCAGCCCCUGCACACAGCAGUCUCUGUGGUAUCAAGACACGAAUUUUCAGACUAGUCCAGCUCUUUCCCUCCUUCUAGGACUGUCCCUGGAUUAUUCUUUCCUUUUCCCCUAACUUUUUUUAAAGAACCAGAUUUUGGGAUUAGCAGAGAGGAGGGAUCUGAUAGUUUCUUAUCUUAGAUGAAUUCCUGUUUUGUUUCCAUCCUCCACUCACCUACCCUCUCUUCCUGCCCUUAGCUCUAUAAUCUUAGUACUGGCUCCUUCCAAACCGAUAGCUAUCUAAAGCAGACUCUCAUUUUUAUUCACAGUUGAUUGGAAAAUAUGGCCCAUAAGCCCAGGAUUUGUUCCUUUCUGAAGACGGAAAUGAACUUGUGUGCUGUAGUGAGCAGAGGGGUGGACCAGGAAGUGAGGAAGGAGAGCAGCACUUGUGAGAGAAGUCCAGGUGGCAUUAAUGUCAAUGUGAGUGGAUGUUGUAUGGUAGCUGCCACAAAACAGCAUUUGGUCUGAGGCUACAUUGACAAAGACACUGUCUUUAGAAUAGGGAGAUGCUGUACCCUACAGGAUCAUUCAUUCUACUGAUAUUUGCUGAGUGCUGGCUACAUGACACACUAUUUUUGCGUCUGGGAAACAUAAGUGAACUAAAAACACAAAAAUUGUCAGACUUGUGGAGCAUGUGUUCUAGUGGAAAGAGACAAACUAUUGACUAUAAGCUUAGAAAUAAGGAAAAUGUUUACAUUAGAAGGCAGUAAGUGCAGUGGGGAAGGGGACCCAGAGUGUGGGUGUGUGGGGAGAGGGAAGAUGGCUGCUAUACUUGGGUGAUCAGCAUGGGCCUCAUUGAGAAAAUGACCUUUGCGGGAAAAUUUGAAGGACAUGAUGGAAUUAGCCUUGAGGAUGUCUGGGGAAGUUCUUUCCAUGCUGGGGGAACAUCCAGUGCAGACACACUAGGACAGGAGGGUAUCUCUGUUCUGGGCGCAGCGAGGAGGCCACUGUGGCUGCAACAGAAUCAUUGAGAUGAAGUCAGAGAUACGACCAGACCAUGUCGGUCUUGAUAAUACUGGAGGACUUUUUGGCUUUUCUUUGGGUGAGAUGAGUUACAAGACAGCUUUGAGCAAAAGAGAGAAAUGGUACAACUUCUCUUUUAAAAGAAUCACUCUGGCUGCUGGGCUGAGAAUAGAGUUGAGGGGGCGAGCAAGGCAAUAGGGAAAACUGAGGAAUUUGGGUAGUAUUCCAGCUACAGAUAGUGAUGGCUUCAACCCAGGUGUGAGCAGUGAAAAUAGUGGAACAUGAUGAGAUUCUUGAUCCAUGUUGAAGUUGAACUUUAAGGACUUCCUAAUGGAUUACAUUUGGGAUAUGAGAGAAAGAGAGGAGUCAAGGAGGACACUAAAAGAUGGUUCUGAUGGCCACAGAGAUGUGGAAGACUCUGGAAGGAGACUUUUUGAGGAGGAGGCAUCACAGGCUAUCUCAGUUUCAGAAUCUGAGAAAGACAUACAAGUGAGAUUAUCAAGAAUAACAACAACAAAAACAAAAACGUGGCCCUCAAGUUGAUUACAGCUCAUAGCAACCAUUCAUAUACAUUAAACAAUGCAAUCAAAAAGCAAGAUAGUCUGACUACAUGCAGACACACACACAAAAUGAAUUCCAACUAUAUGCUGUCUACAGCAGACACACUUUAUAUUCAAAGGUACAAAUAGAUUGAAAGUAAAAGAAUGGAAAACAGUGUAUUAUGGAAACAGCAACCACAAGAAGGUCCUAGUGGCUACACUAACAUCAGACAAAAUGGACUCUAAAAUAAAAAAUCUUACUAGAGUUAGAGACAUUUUAUAAUGAUAAAAGUCAAUUCACCAGAAAGAUUUAAGAAUUAUAAAUGUAUAUGCACCUAAUAAUAGAAUACCAAAAUAGAAUAAAGCAAAAACAUAAAAAUGAAGGAAAAAAUUGACAAUACAAAAAUAAUAGUGGAAGACUUCAAUAUUCCAUUUUCAAUGGCUAGAACAACUGGACAGAAGAUCAAAGUCUUAUUCUUGAUCAAGGUUAGAAGACUUGAACAACCCUAUAAACCAACUAGAACUAAGGGACAUCUGUGGAACACUCCACCCAAUAACAGCAGAAUAUACACUCUUCUCAAGUGCACAUGGAACAUUCUCCAGAACAGAACAUAUGCUAAGCCAUAAAACAUGUCUAAUAAAUUUAAAAUUAUAGAAAUAAUACAAAUUAUGUUCUUCAACCAUGACGUGAUGUAAUUAUAAAUAACAGAAACUUUGGAAAUUUACAUGUAUGUGGAAAUUAACACACUCUUAAAUAACCAAUGAGUCAAAGAAGAAAUCAAAACAAAAAUUAGAAAAUACUGUGACAUAAAUGAAAAUGAAGACACAACAUACCAAAACUUAUGGGAUGCUAUUAAAGUAGUGCUUACAGGAAAAUUUAUAGAUGUAAAUGCCUACAUUAAAAGAUAAGAAAGAUGUCAAAUUCAUAACCUAAUCACUACUUUAAGACACUGGGAAAAAAAGAGAGCAAACUAAACCUAAAGCAAACAGAAGGAAGGAAAUCAUAAAAAUUAGAGUGGAAAUUCAUGAAAUAGAGCAUAGGAAAAUCGUAUAGAAAAUAACAACAAAAAACAAAAAUUGGUUUUUUGAAAAGAUUAAAAAAAAUUGACAAAACUUCAGGCAGACUCAUGAAGGGAAAAAGAAAAUUCAGAUUACUAAAAUCUGGAACGAAAAAAGGGACAUUACCUCAGAAAUAAAAAGGAUUAUAAGCGGAUACUAUGAGAUCUUUAAAGUGGUAAAAAGCACCAGUGAAGACCCCGCUGACUGUGGUUGCUGAAACCUGUACCUAUGAUCGUUAAGAAAGACAAUUCAAAAUGUAGGAUCACAGUUUCUAGCCUAUCUGAAAAAUUAAUGGUGACGUCAUCAAGGAUUUCUGAAGCUACAAAUCCAGUAGACCUCGAGACCUGGACUGUGGAGCAGAAGCUAGCAAAGAGGUCCUAUCUUCCAGACCCACAUGUUUCCACUCCAUGUCCCUUCGUCACCAAUGAGGGAAAUUUUGCUUGAUGCUCAGGUUUUGUCAAAAGGUUUUCAACUACUAGACUCUACAGGUACCUAUUAUCAUUUUAAUGGCAUAGAUCUUUCUAGGUCAAACCCCCUUGAAACUCCCUCCAAAAAUUGUAGGGAUAUAUGCCAUAUAAAAAUGGCUGCACUAUUGACAACUGCAGCCCCCACAGGCCUCUAUGCUGUAUAUGACAUGUUGGAGACUUGUCAGCGAUAAGAAUGAGAUUAGGC